rnacentral:rRNA from 1 species
UACGAAUGGUGCAAGCGUUAUCCGGAUUCAUUGGGCUUAAAGGGUGCGUAGGCGGUGCGUUAAGUCAGUGGUGAAAUCCUGCAGCUCAACUGUAGACUUGCCAUUGAUACUGGCGCUCUUGAGUGCGCUUGAAGUAGGCGGAAUGUGCCGUGUAGCGGUGAAAUGCUUAGAUAUGGCACAGAACGCCAAAUGCGAAGGCAGCUUACUAAGGCGAUACUGACGCUGAGGCACGAAAGCGUGGGGAGCGAACAGG